CCUGGCUCAGGAUGAACGCUGGCGGCGCGCCUAACACAUGCAAGUCGAACGGAGCGAUAGAGCGGAAGUUUUCGGAUGGAAGCUGUAUAGCUUAGUGGCGGACGGGUGAGUAACGCGUGAGCAACCUGCCUUUCAGAGGGGGAUAACGAUUGGAAACGAUCGCUAAUACCGCAUAACGUCCGGAUGGGACAUCCUGUCUGGACCAAAGGAGAAAUCCGCUGAGAGAUGGGCUCGCGUCCAAUUAGCUAGUUGGCGGGGUAAAGGCCCACCAAGGCGACGAUUGGUAGCCGGACUGAGAGGUUGAACGGCCACAUUGGGACUGAGACACGGCCCAGACUCCUACGGGAGGCAGCAGUGGGGAAUAUUGCACAAUGGGGGGAACCCUGAUGCAGCGACGCCGCGUGAGGGAAGAAGGUUUUCGGAUUGUAAACCUCUGUCCUCUGUGACGAUAAUGACGGUAGCAGAGGAGGAAGUCACGGCUAACUACGUGCCAGCAGCCGCGGUAAUACGUAGGUGGCAAGCGUUGUCCGGAUUUAUUGGGCGUAAAGCGAGUGCAGGCGGUUCAAUAAGUCUGAUGUGAAAGCCUUCGGCUCAACCGGAGAAUUGCAUCAGGAACUGUUGAACUUGAGUGCAGAAGAGGAGAGUGGAACUCCAUGUGUAGCGGUGGAAUGCGUAGAUAUAUGGAAGAACACCAGUGGCGAAGGCGGCUCUCUGGUCUGCAACUGACGCUGAGGCUCGAAAGCAUGGGUAGCGAACAGGAUUAGAUACCCUGGUAGUCCAUGCCGUAAACGAUGAGUGCUAAGUGUCGGGGGACGACAGUGCCCCGGUGCCGCCGCAAACGCAGUAAGCAGUCCACCUGGGGAGUACGUUCGCAAGAAUGAAACUCAAAGGAAUUGACGGGGACCCGCACAAGCGGUGGAGCAUGUGGUUUAAUUCGAGGCAACGCGAAGAACCUUACCCUGCCUUGACAUCCCCACGGAUGCAGGGCAAUGCCUACAGCCCCUCGGGGCGUGGGAGACAGGUGGUGCAUGGUUGUCGUCAGCUCGUGUCGUGAGAUGUUGGGUCAAGUCCCGCAACGAGCGCAACCCCUGCCCCUAGUAGCCAGCAUGCAAAGAUGGGGACUCUGCGGGGACUGCCGGGGACAACCCGGAGGAAGGCGGGGAUGACGUCAAAUCAUCAUGCCCCUUAUGGCCUGGGCUACACACGUGCUACAAUGGCGCAACAGAGGGAGGCGAAGCCGCGAGGCGGAGCGAACCCCAGAAAUGGCGUCUCAGUUCGGACUGCAGUCUGCAACUCGACUGCACGAAGCUGGAAUCGCUAGUAAUCGCGGAUCAGAAUGCCGCGGUGAAUACGUUCCCGGGUCUUGCACUCACCGCCCGUCA
rnacentral:rRNA from 1 species